rnacentral:tRNA from 1 species
AGUCCCGAGGUGCUUAGCAUGUCGGAUUGCAAAUCCGAAGGAGCAGGUUAGCGCCUGCCGGGGCUU